CAGGUGACCAGGAUAAAUUCCCUCUACUUUCCUGAAGCAUUUUAAUAGUGCUUUAGAGUUGACAAAGCUUUCACACAUCUCAGAUCACUGUUUGCUUAUAGUCUGGUAAGGCAGGUGUUACCAUUCCCAUUUUACAGCAGAGGAAGGGGAGGAGCAGGAACUCACACACAUUCCCACAUUGAGAACAUGGUGGAGCCAGGGCUCAAGCCCAGGUCUAUUCACAUCCAAAUCUCUUUCCAUAGAGACCCCAGCAUGCCUUCAGUCAAUCUUCUUUACGUCACGUGUAAAGCUGCCUUCUUCCAGAACUUCUGUUAAACAUUAAGUACAUUUCAUGCUGCUGAGUUUCCUGCCAAACAUUGUUAAGAAUAUGCUUCUUAUGCAUUGUUAGUUUCCUGUGGAAGAGGCUUCCUCCAGUCUAUGUUUUAUUGAUCAACCUGCUCUCACUUUCCUCACCGCUUACCCUGACAAGUACUUCACUGUAGAUUGUGCUGUUGAAGGAGUACAUGGGGAGAAAGAUAACAGUGCUCUAAAGCGUGAGCAAUUCACCCUUCAUACAGGUAACCUCAGGUAAACCUCCAUCCUGCAGCAGCCCAGACAACUUCUCCAGUACGAACAAAGUUGAGUCCUUUAUUUAAUAUACAGCAUGUGGCUCAGGGUGGGAAAAAAAUGGAAAGAAGAGGUGGUUUCAUUAGAUAUUUACCAUGUCAAGGAUGGAUCUCUGUUUUGUAAAAUCUGUACCUUGCUGGGGAAAUGGGGAUUUUCUUUUCCAAUUCAGAUAAUCCCAACUCGAAAGAGAAGCAGCUGGAAUCAGUAUACAGCAUCCUACUCUCAUGUCAUUUUUAGUAUCAUUACCUAUCGUUGGUUAAGCCAGCAAAAUCUUUUAUUUCUUUUUUAUUAAAAAAUAAUUAUGCAUCUUUGCAAGUAGGCUUGAUUCACUUAGCACAGAUAGUAACUACAGCUCUCAGUUUAGAUUUUUCUCUGGUUUCUUUAUAUUGUUUUGUGUCUGCUGCAUGAAAACUUUUUAUUAAUGAACUUGGUUGCAGUUAAGGGCAGCCAUGGUCCCUUUUAAAGAUAAAAUACUAUUUAGUAUUCAUUAAAGGAGUUAUAAAAA
rnacentral:lncRNA from 10 species